CGGCCAUCGUGGGCAGGGGAGGUGGAGACCCCUUGAAGCUGAUCUGUAUUGCAGGGUGUGGAGUAGGGCUGGGGGUUCCUGGGCCUCUAAUCUUUAAAAUCCAGCAAGAAGGUAGUGUACUGUGAGCCAGGCCCAUCAUUCUCUUUCCUCCCUGAAACCAUCGAUGAGUCUUCCCCUAAGGGCUGGAGGGGAGGGUCCCCUUUCUUUGACUUCCCUUGCAGUUCCUCUGAUGCUGAAGAGUAGGGCUUGCAGGGACUCUGCCUCCUGCAGGGAGCAGCCACUGUUUCCAGGGACCCUCACAGAAGAGGAGCUAAUUUCACACUUUGGGACUCCAUAGAAGCCAGCUUCCUGGCAGUUUGAAGUGUGCUUCUCACACAUCUUCCACCAGCUUGUUUGUCUGCCUAUAUCUGAGGAUCCUUUAAAGCGAUUGAAACAAAAUUAAGGGCAGAAUGAAUCUUUGGUGAUGAAAGUGAGAAUCUGGGAGAGAUGUGAAAACUGGAAGAGAAACAGGAAGUACCUCCAGGAUUCACCUAAAUAGAUGCUGCGGUUUCUAUCAAACCACAGGCCACCCCAGCAUCUCAGUGGCUUCUAUAGGUUGUCCUGAAAGAGCCAUGAGGCCAGGGCCCUUGAUGGAUUCCCAGAUACCAGCUGCUCCUCCAGACACCAAUUCCACCCUCCACCUUUCUGUGUCCGUCCCAGACCAAGGCAGCCCAGGAAACUCUCUAGGAGGUGUGUCUCCAGGAUAGAGGGCCAGUGGAGAAUGGCAGCCCACACUGUUAUGGGAUGAAGUGUGUCCCCCAAAAUCAACAUGUUGAAGCUCUAACCCCCAGAACCCCGGAAUAAAACUAUAUUUGGAGUUAAGAUCUUUAAAGAGGUAAUUAUGUCCUAAUGAGUUAUUUAGGGCAGACCCUAAUCCAAUAGGACUGGUAUCCUUCUAAGAAGAGGAAGGCACAUCAGAGGAGAGGCCAUGUGAGGACACCAUGGGAAGGCGGCCACCUGCAAGCCAAGGAGAGGGGCCUCAGGAGAAACCAGCCCUGCUGACACCCUGAGCUCCUUGCAAUUCCAGCCUCCUAGACUGUGAGAAAAUACACUUGUGUUAUUUAAGCCCCCCAGUCUGUGGUUCUUUGCUGU
rnacentral:lncRNA from 1 species